UUGGCUCUAAUACAGUCGGGGGAUGACGGUACCGGAAGAAUAAGCACCGGCUAACUACGUGCCAGCAGCCGCGGUAAUACGUAGGUGCAAGCGUUAUCGGAUUACUGGGCGUAAGCGCACGCAUGCGGUUUGUUAAGUCAGAUGUGAAAUCCCCCGGGCUCAACCUGGGAACUGCAUCUGAUACUGGCAAGCUUGAGUCUCGUAGAGGGGGGUAGAAUUCCAGGUGUAGCGGUGAAAUGCGUAGAGAUCUGGAGGAAUACCGGUGGCGAAAGGCGGCCCCCUGGACGAAGACUGACGCUCAGGUGCGAAAGCGUGGGGAGCAAACAGGAUUAGAUACCCUGGUAGUCCACGCCGUAAACGAUGCCGACUUGGAGGUUGUGUCCUUGAGGCGUGGCUUCCGGAGCUAACGCAUUAAAGUACCCGCCUGGGAGUACGGCCGCAAGGCUAAAA
rnacentral:rRNA from 1 species